UCUCAAAGAGCACCCAGAUGGGCUGGGCCGGUCGGCAGGUAUAGCCUCAGCCAAGUCCUGCCCUAACUCUGCGCCCUUGGCCCUGUCAGGCCCAGGCAUUCGGGACCCCGCCGCCUGGUGCCCGCCCCUCCCCGCAGCUCCGAUUUUCAGCUUGGGUUUGAUCGGCUGCCAGGAUCUCCCAAAUGUCAGCAGCAGCAUUCGCGUCUUUAAGAGAGCGCCCGAGGCGAUCUUUAAGCGGGGAGGCUGGGGCCGGCGCUGACGAGGGAACGCUGCUGACAGCCACGCUCGUGCCUCCCCAGCCAGCUUGCAGAGCUGCAGCCCCGCUCUGGGCCUGGGCUCAUUUUGAAGCCUGGGAUAAAACCAGGCUAGGCCAGGAGUUGAGUAGCAGGACCCCUGCUGGAAGCCAAGAGGGCCAGGCAUCCAUAGAUUAAAUACAGAAGUUUUAAGAGCUGCCCAAGGGGCAGAGAAGGGCAGUUCCUCCUUCCUCACCUUGAAGGGACAUAUUCAGGGUCAUGGAUGGUCCUGACUACCCAACUUCUCAAGCAUCCAAUGUCCUCAGAGAAAGGGAGACCAGAGGUCAGUUCCCAUCCAGGGGAGAUGUGCUGGGAAAGUGGCAGCGUGGACUUCCUGUCCCUGAGAUGCAGCCUUUCUGGGACCAGGCAGAGUGGCCACGAAACUGAGAGAAGGUGGUGUUGUCCAGCAGGGCCCAGGAUUGGCAUCUCACUCAUCAAAGCAUGUUCCAAACUACGGGAACAAGGCUCAGAAUGGCUGUGAAAUAAAAUCAGAAUGUGUGGAUGAAGGGUGGGUGGAAACAUAAGUGGACAGCCUGAAACCUGCUUGCUCAGGGGUGGAGCUUCCCGAUCAAUCGUUCUGCCACGCCCACUGCUGGAACCUGCUGCUUUGCUGCUUGGAGCCAUACUCGUGGUCACCCUGCUACUGGACUCUGAGAUUAUUUGGUGGGAAUCGGGCCCCUUCCCCUGCUUCAUAACUGCGUGCAGAACAGUAAAUUUGAGCUUUGAUCAGAA